rnacentral:rRNA from 1 species
AACGAACGUUAGCGGCGCGCUUAAUACAUGCAAGUCGAGCGAGAAAGGGCUUCGGCCCCGGUAAAGCGGCGCACGGGUGAGUAACACGUAGGUAAUUUGCCCUCGGGUGGUGGAUAACUUUCCGAAAGGAAGGCUAAUACAGCAUGAGACCACGGUUCCGAAAGGGAUUGAGGUCAAAGCCGGCCAAUUCAUGAAGGCUGGUGCCUGAGGAUGAGCCUGCGGCCCAUCAGCUAGUUGGUAGGGUAAUGGCCUACCAAGGCGAAGACGGGUAGCUGGUCUGAGAGGAUGAUCAGCCACACUGGAACUGAGACACGGUCCAGACUCCUACGGGAGGCAGCAGUGGGGAAUCUUGCGCAAUGGGCGAAAGCCUGACGCAGCGACGCCGCGUGAGUGAUGAAGGCCUUCGGUUGGUUAAAGACUCUGUG